rnacentral:rRNA from 1 species
CCUACGGGUGGCAGCAGUAGGGAAUAUUGCUCAAUGGGGGAAACCCUGAAGCAGCAACGCCGCGUGGAGGAUGAAGGUUUUCGGAUUGUAAACUCCUUUUGUUAGAGAAGAUAAUGACGGUAUCUAACGAAUAAGCACCGGCUAACUCCGUGCCAGCAGCCGCGGUAAUACGGAGGGUGCAAGCGUUACUCGGAAUCACUGGGCGUAAAGAGCGCGUAGGCGGGAUAGCAAGGCAGAUGUGAAAUCCUAGGGCUUAACCAUAGAACUGCAUUUGAAACUGUUAUUCUAGAGUAUGGGAGAGGUAGGUGGAAUGCGUGGUGUAGGGGUAAAAUCCGUAGAGAUCAAGAGGAAUACUCAUUGCGAAGGCGACCUGCUAGAACAUAACUGACGCUGAUGCGCGAAAGCGUGGGGAGCAAACAGGAUUAGAUACCCCUGUAGUC